UCCUGGCUGGCUCAGUCAGUAGAGCAUGUGACUCCUGAUCUCAGGGUUGUAAGUUCAAGCCCUAUGUUUGGUA
rfam:Mustela putorius furo unplaced genomic scaffold scaffold00098, whole genome shotgun sequence.